AUUGAACGCUGGCGGCAUGCCUAACACAUGCAAGUCGAACGGUAGCAGGUCCUUCGGGAUGCUGACGAGUGGCGGACGGGUGCGUAACGCGUGGGAAUCUGCCCAAUAGUGGGGGAUAACCCGGGGAAACCCGGGCUAAUACCGCAUACUCCCUACGGGGGAAAGCGGGGGACCGCAAGGCCUCGCGCUAUUGGAUGAGCCCGCGUCCGAUUAGCUUGUUGGUGGGGUAAAAGCCUACCAAGGCGACGAUCGGUAGCUGGUCUGAGAGGACGACCAGCCACACUGGGACUGAGACACGGCCCAGACUCCUACGGGAGGCAGCAGUGGGGAAUAUUGGACAAUGGGGGAAACCCUGAUCCAGCAAUGCCGCGUGUGUGAAGAAGGCCUGCGGGUUGUAAAGCACUUUCGGCAGGAAAGAAAAGCCAUGCGCUAAUACCGCAUGACCUUGACGUUACCUGCAAAAGAAGCCCCGGCUAACUCCGUG
rnacentral:rRNA from 1 species